GACAGAGGUCCCGAGCGUUAGGCGGAAUCACUGGGCUUAAAAGCGUGUGUAGGCGGAUUUGUAAGUACCUUGUGAAAUCCCACAGCUUAACUGUGGAACUGCUUGGUAUACUGCUUAUCUGGGCCACUUAGGGGUUACCGGAACAAACGGUGGAGCGGUGAAAUGCGUAGAUAUCGUUUGGAACGCCAAUGGUGAAAACAGGUAACUGGGGAGUGUGCCGACGGCUGAAGCACACGAAAGCCAGGGGAGCGAACGGG
rnacentral:rRNA from 1 species